GUGGAGGAAGAGCUGUUCACGGACUGCUGGCCCCACGACGAGGAAGAGGGUAGCUGGAGGCAGAGGAGAGAGGGAAUUAACUCCACACAAAAGCUUAGAAACAAACUAGGAUUAGAUACCCUACUAUGCUAAGCCCUGAACAUUGAUAGUUACCUAUACAGUACUUUCCGCCAGAGAACUACAAGUGAAAAACUUGAAACUCAAAGGACUUGACGGUGUCCCAUAUCAACCUAGAGGAGCCUGUCCUACAAUCGAUACCCCCUGUU